UUUGUUUGUUUUGCUGAUGCAG
rnacentral:miRNA from 1 species